GCGCUCUUAGCUCAGUUGGUUAGAGCGUUCGCUUCACACGCGAAAGGUCGGAGGUUCGAAUCCUCCAGAGCGCACAA
rnacentral:tRNA from 1 species